GAAGAGAAUAAGAGAUAAGUAACGGAUGAAGCUGAAUGAAUAUAGAGAAGAAGAUCCGUGUUUCCAAUAUAUAUAUAGAUAUAGAUAAAUCAAAACUUUGAAUUUUCCCAGAAAUUGCUUUCAAGAGCGACAAGACGCGUAGCGUAAGCCGCUGACGUUAUUAUUGACUUUUCAUAAAAUAAUACUCCUACGGUUUCAGAUAUACGCGCCACUAAAUAUCAUUUCCUUAGUAUUAUUCCAUUUUCGAACAUGGGUAUUAUUAUAUACUUGUUAAGGAAUUAAAUAAUCAACUCAGUUUUCUUAUAAAAGAUCGUAGACUAAUCAACGAGGACGACAGAUACUAUUUUCAAGCGCUUAAGAGAGAAUACUAUACACCCCUUUUUAGGGUUAAUCUACAAACUCAAAAAUGUUAUCUGUCUUGUGGAACAAGUCACUACAAAAGCAGCCCUACUGGAUAUAGCACUUCUCUAAGUUGAUAUUGUUUCUUCCAUGUCACGGCAUACCUUUUUGGAGCAGAUCCACCAUCAUUCUCACCUUCACAAAGGAAUAUAAAU